CUUUUACAAUAUAAAUAUUUCUUGAGUACUUAAUUUUUCAGAUAACACACUAGGCAUUGGCAUGGGGCAAUAAAACCAAUGGCUGCCCUUGAGAUACUUAAUAUGGUAAGGAAAGAUGGCACAUAAACAGGUAAUUUUAAUAGGAGGGGGUAACUGCUGUAACAUAGGGAUGCAUCAGGUUAUGAGGCAGCCCAGACAAGUAGUAUGUAAUGACAUCCCUUCCUUAUCAAUGCCAUUUUUUUUUUUUUUUUUGGUCACAGCUCAUCACAGGUGUCUGUUCCUGGACCUCAGAUGGGUUAUUGGGAUCCUGUUUAGGGGAGGAGCCAUGCUGAAGAUUCAGUAAAAUGGGGAAUACAGGGGAUUCUGAGAGAAUCGAUGGCACAGAAUGUGAGGGGAGAUGAGUGGAGGGUUCCACCCCUUCUCUUUUUGACCACUGAGAAAACGUUUCCUAAGAGCUCCUCUGUAGACUUGAUUGGCGCUGUGCUGUGUGCUGUGGAUACAGAUAUGAAGAAAACAUUAUCCCAGCACUCCAGGAGCUCCAUCUGGAAAGCAAGUCACUGCCAAAUGGCAUGAGAAGUGCUGUGACAGACUUGAGUAAAGUCCACGGGGUUCACAACGGGCCGUGGUCAUCACUGCAUGGGGGUGGCCUCGGACUGUCCUGAUCCUUGUCUUGGCCCCUUUCACAGUUGGAGAACCAGUCCCAGCCUUGUGACACUGGGCCCAAUCAGCGUUUAGCCCACCAGGGUCCACCCAGCACCUGCGCUCCCAGCUGUCACAAUGCAAACAACGCUAUCAAGAUCUCCAGGAGAAGCUGCUGCUAUCAGAAGCCACUGUCUUUGCUCAGGCGAACGAGCUGGAGAAAUACAGAGUUAUACUUAGUGAACCCUUGCUGAAGCAGGACAGUAAACAGGUCCAGGUGGACCUCCAGGACCUGGGCUAUGAGACUUGUGGCCAAAGCAAGAAUGAGGCUGAACAGGAGGAAACCACCAGUCCCGGACUACAACCAUAGGGCCACCCACCACAUUGAAAACCAGAAGAGCAUUUUGCUGCCGCCGAGCGUGGACGCAGGCGGAUCUCCGAAGAGCUGGGUCGCCAGCCUCUCCCGCGCACGUUGCCUGGCCUCCAGCACCUACUUGGUCCCGCGCGCUCCCUCGUGUCGCCCCUCGGAGCAGCAGCCGCCGCGGUCGCCGCUACCCGGAAAGAAGUCAGAGACGCCGCGAGGUCGCCGCCACCGCCAUGCCCAAGAAUAAAGGUAAAGGAGGUAAAAAUAGACGCAGGGGUAAGAAUGAGAAUGAAUCUGAAAAAAGAGAACUGGUAUUCAAAGAGGAUGGUCAGGAGUAUGCUCAGGUAAUCAAAAUGUUGGGAAAUGGACGGCUAGAAGCAAUGUGUUUCGAUGGUGUAAAGAGGUUAUGUCACAUCAGAGGAAAAUUGAGAAAAAAGGUUUGGAUAAAUACCUCGGACAUUAUUUUGGUUGGUCUCCGAGACUACCAGGAUAACAAAGCUGAUGUAAUUUUAAAAUACAAUGCAGACGAAGCUAGAAGUCUGCAGGCAUACGGCGAGCUUCCAGAGCAUGCUAAAAUCAAUGAAACUGAUACAUUUGGUCCUGGAGAUGAUGAUGAAAUUCAGUUUGAUGACAUUGGAGAUGAUGAUGAAGAUAUUGAUGACAUCUAAAUUGAACUCAACAUUUUACAUUCCAUCUUUUCUGAAGAUUGUCCUACAAUUUGGAUUUUGAUCAUGACAAAGAAGAUUAAAAUUUCAUUAGCAUGAAUGCAAUUUGUUAAAGCAGA
rnacentral:lncRNA from 1 species